UAAAGCAUGAAAAAAUAUCGUAUUAAAAAAUUUCCAGAUAAAUGCAACAUUUUAGGUUUAAGUUAUCGCAGUAUUAGCAUUUUAAUAUCAUUGAUAUUGCUGGCGCAAAAUGUCUGCUUCAUUUUAACAUUUUCCAUUAAAGCAAAAAUAUCCUGCAACAUUUUCACGAACGGCCUCUAUAGUCUGGUCAUACAAUUUGGAGAUGAUUAUUGGUCUUUAGCUGGCUUAUUGAUAGCAUUAUUAAGUCUGGCCACCAAUGCCUCUUUGCUAUGGGGUUCCAUAAGGCAUGUUAAAAGUUUAAUAUUGCUGUGGUAUGUUGGUGGCAUUGUACAAUUCGUGUAUUUGCUAAGUUUACAAAGUUUCUGUUUAUCUACAAAAUCUUGUAAUAAUCAUUGCAAAAUGGAUAGGGAAACCAGAAAUUAUUAUCACUGGGGAUUUGGUUGGUGUUUGUUCAUAACUUUAUAUUUUUACAUCACUUUCAUAUUUAAAAUCCAUCUAUUCUACGCGUAUGUCAAGUAUCUGCAACGGCCACGCCUCACAACCGUUCCAAGAGAUGAAAUCUAUUUACGCCCAUCGUAUUUUGGAAGAUUAUCAAAUGUGAAUAAAUAAAUUUGUAAAUAUUAAGAAAAUAUUCAAAAUAAAUUAAAAUCUACAGUUAAAGGUAUUU